AAGUCGUAACAAGGUUUCCGUAGGUGAACCUGCGGAAGGAUCAUUAACACCAAAAGUCAACACAAAACGCCCAAGUUUGCCGUUCAGGCGGGCUAGGCUUUUGUGUUUUCUUCUUAACCCUCCAUUUGUGCGAACGUGUGUUUUUAUACUGUCUGGGGGGAUGCGUUGCUUUGCUUUUGCUAAGUGGCCAUCCCUUUCUUUCAACCUUUUCUUAACCCCUUGAACUGUCUUUGACUGAGCUUGGUCUUUUUUUUUUCUGUUCAUCAUGUACGUAAAACAUACAUGAGACAAAAAAACAAAUGGACUAGACAUCCAACGCUGAACAACUCUUAGCAACGGAUAUCUUGGCUCUC
rnacentral:misc_RNA from 1 species